rnacentral:rRNA from 1 species
AUUGAACGCUGGCGGCAGGCUUAACACAUGCAAGUCGAGCGGAGAUGAGGUGCCUGCACCUUAUCUUAGCGGCGGACGGGUGAGUAAUGCUUAGGAAUCUGCCUAUUAGUGGGGGACAACAUUCCGAAAGGAAUGCUAAUACCGCAUACGUCCUACGGGAGAAAGCAGAGGAUCUUCGGACCUUGCGCUAAUAGAUGAGCCUAAGUCGGAUUAGCUAGUUGGUGGGGUAAAGGCCUACCAAGGCGACGAUCUGUAGCGGGUCUGAGAGGAUGAUCCGCCACACUGGGACUGAGACACGGCCCAGACUCCUACGGGAGGCAGCAGUGGGGAAUAUUGGACAAUGGGGGAAACCCUGAUCCAGCCAUGCCGCGUGUGUGAAGAAGGCCUUAUGGUUGUAAAGCACUUUAAGCGAGGAGGAGGCUACUGAGACUAAUACUCUUGGAUAGUGGACGUUACUCGCAGAAUAAGCACCGGCUAACUCUGUGCCAGCCGCCGCCGUAA